rnacentral:lncRNA from 1 species
AAUAAGAACCUGUAUGGCGAACUACACCAAUAGAAAAGGCUCCAACGUCGUUAAAGAAAACUCAAACCGGGACCAAAACUCAACCUGUCACUACUUCGUUGUAUUUUGUUCUCUGUGUUUUCUUUCUUUCUAUGUAGAUUUCGUGCUUUUGUUUUUCUUUCUUCCAAACGCUUUCUUUCCUUUGGUUUCAAUGUUGUUUCUUUCUUUUCUUUUUCCCGUGUCAAAAAAAAAAUUCCCCUUAAGUGUUGAUGACUUUGUAUUCAUAUAGGUGUAGGUGUGUUUGUCGUGUGUGUGUGUUAUGGGAAAAUGGGGGAGAUGUUCUGUGAGAGUGGGACUGGUGGGUGGUUUGGGUAGUUUAGGAUUCUCUCUUCUUUUUUUUUUCUUUUUUUUUUAAUUAAUAUUUUAAAUAAAAUAAAAAUAAUAAAAUCUAUUUUAAAACUAACAAAAUACAAGAUAAGUUAAUUAGCUAGUCUUAGGAAUAUGGUUAAGAAAUAUUAA